rnacentral:rRNA from 1 species
CCUACGGGAGGCAGCAGUGAGGAAUAUUGCUCAAUGGACGAAAGUCUGAAGCAGCGACGCCGCGUGAGGGAUGAAGUCCGUUUGGAUGUAAACCUCUUUUGCAGAAGAAGAAUGUUUCGAUUUCUCGAAAUUGACGGUAUUUUGCGAAUAAGCACCGGCUAACUACGUGCCAGCAGCCGCGGUAAUACGUAGGGUGCGAGCGUUGUCCGGAAUUACUGGGUGUAAAGGGUCCGCAGGCGGGCGAGUAAGUCUGUGGUGAAAUCUUACGGCUUAACCGUAAAUUGCCACGGAAACUGCUUGCCUUGAGUGUGAAAGAGGAAGAUGGAAUUCAUGGUGUAGCAGUGAAAUGCGUAGAUAUCAUGAAGAACACCGGUAGCGAAGGCGAUCUUCUGGUUCACAACUGACGCUCAGGGACGAAAGCGUGGGGAGCAAACAGGAUUAGAUACCCUGGUAGUCCACGCCCUAAACCCAUGGAUACUCGAUGUCGGUAGUACGAAGAAGUUCGGUUGUCGUGAGCAACCGACAAUAAGUAUACCCACCCGUCGGGGUAGGUACGGAGUCGCGAGGUUAGUAACGUACGAAAGGAAGUUAGUCGGCGUGAGACGUAGCCGACGGACGACGACGAGGGAGGUUAGGG